rnacentral:lncRNA from 10 species
AGACACUAUUGCCAGUGGGUUUUCUAGAAGUGGUGAUCAUGGGCACCAAAUUAUCCCCUCCCUCUCCCUGCAUUCUCCCAUUAUCGUCUACCCUUGGUUAAAUACGCUGAAAAAAGAACUGAAGCGGAGUUAAGUACGAGGAAGCCUUAAAGACGCACUUUCUGGCAGCCCCCCGCCCCCUUUCCCCGCAGUGGAGGCUGCCCCAGGUCUACAGGUGCCGCCUUCGCCCGGCCUCGCGUAGCCCACAGCAGGGGCCGCCCGCCCGCCGAAGUUGAAGGCGCACCUCCCCUUCCCGGGAAGGACGACGGUUCCCCAAAAGAGGCGGAGGGUAGUCUCUCAUCUGAACCAGGCGCUUUAAUGCCUGCCUGAAGCCACCGCGGCCAGCGUGGAGACCACGCAGCGGGCGGGCGGCUGCAAGCCCUGGGCUCCGAGCGCCUCUCCUGUGCGGGUCCCGCCCCCCUCCCCGCAUUCCUCUCGUUCUGCUCCCGAGCCCAGGCCACGCUGAAGGAAGUACUUGGGCAGUCUCUUUCCUGGAGAACGGGCCCGCCGGUUCCGGAAGCCUCUCCUACCCCCAGGCUGGUCACCUCGGACUACCGACCCGGGACAAGAAGUCCAAGCAGACUGCGGCGGAGGUAGGCUGGCCUCAGCCCAGCUCCCCCAGGGUCUCCCCCGGAGCGCCGGCCUCCCAGCACGCGAGCAGCCCCCUCCCACCCAGUCCCGCGGCCGCCUCCAGUCCCCCUGCGCCCGGGAAGCCUCCACCUCGCCCGCCCUGACACCGAGGUCCCAGUAUCCAAAGCGCCCCCAGGGCCCCGCCCGCAACAGGGGAAGUUGCAGCCCGCCGCUCUCGGUCACCUUGGCCGUCACCGAGGGGCCUCGCUUGCGGAAGCCCUCGGCCCCCGAAGAAAACACAAGUGCGCCGAGCCCCACGCAAAGCACGAGAGGUAGCAGCAGCCGAGGACCCGGGCCCAUGGCUGGAAUGCUACAACUACAUUCUCCAAGACUACCUUGUAGCUAGUUUCUGCAUGUGACCUAGCUAUCACCAAGAAGACAUAUUGCUUGAGACUAGGAGGCAGAGAUGCUAAAUGUGAAUGAUAGCUCUGCAGAGAGAGAGAUCAGAUCUUGCAAGUGCAGAGAACAAGACACCUGGAUUUCCUGGGACAGCUGCUCUGGGGAUUUUGGAUUCCAAAGGCCAGUUCUCUUGUCUUUCCAGAAAUUCUUACAAGGUACCUACUACUGUUUAAUGAAUUAUUCUCUGCUUCAACUAGAUAACAUGGAUUCGGCUGUCUACAGUCAAAAAUCCUGACAAAUACAGGAUGAUACUGCACCCCCAACCAUAGGAGUGGUCCCUACAAAUGAAGCACAUUGGAAUACAGUAGCACCCUGACUUCCAUAUGAGUAAUCUCAAGGUUUCCCUUUGAUUCCAAUUUCACCUGUAGGCUCCAAUGUAACAGUGGAAAAGCAGAGGUCAUGAUGGAGAGAAUAGGAGUGAGCCCAUAAAACCUGGUUUGGCUGGGUGCGGUGGCUCACACCUGUAAUCCCAGCACUUUGUGAGGCCGAGGCAGGCAGACCACGAGGUCAGGAGAUCAAGACCAUCCUGGCUAACAUGGUGAAACCCUGUCUCUAUUAAAAAUACAAAAAAAUCAGCCGGGCAUGGUGGCAAGUCCCUGUAAUCCCAGCUACCUGGGAAGCUGUGGCAGGACAAUCACUUGAACCCAGGAGGUGGAGGUUGCAGUGAGCUGAGAUCAUGCCACUGCACUCCAGCCUGGCAACAGAACAAGACUCCAUCGCAAAAACAAACAAACAAACAAAAAACCUGGUUCAAUGAUCAAAUAUUGAGUCAGGGAUAGGCUAAGCCAGCAACAAAAUCAACCCACAGGGACUUCAGGCCUCAGCAGAAUGAACAAGGGAAUCUACAUUUGGAGAUCAAGAUCAAGUUGGUUUGAGAAGAAAAGCCAGGACACCAGGUCUAAAUUGAGUUCCAUGAACAGUAUUUGGCCAAGUCAGAAACCCUUUGUGAAGACCCCUAGCCCCAACCACCCACAGGUGUACAUGUUCUCAUAUAUAUAGGACAUGAGGACAUGUCUUAACAUUUAAUUGGUGACCUUUGCCCCUGUGGUAUGAGAAAAUGGUAUCUCCUACUCAAAUAUCAGAUAUUUUGGUUUAAAAUGUAAAAUGAGUCAGAGUUAAUUUGUCUCAGUCAGCCAACAUGUCAUAAAAAUAUUUUAAUUCCAAGUAUUGCCAUAGUUUAUCUUAUACGUAAGAUAAAGUAGAGCCAAUAGAAAGAUGCAAAAGCAAACCAAAGUUAGAUUAUUGCUUCUGAUGGGACAAACCCUGUCCAGGAGAAUUGUGGGGCCUUUCUUUGAUUGACAGGUAGAUUUGGGAGUUUUUAGAGGGGACCAAGCCUUUUGGGGCAAGGGAAGAUGCAGUUGCAAAAUACCACUUGCUGGUUCUUUGGAAAAAAAAAAUAACAAAAUCUAUAGACCACUAGCUAGAUUAACCAAGAAAAGAGGAAAGAAGAUCCAACUAAGUUAAAUUAGAAAUGAAACUGGAAACAUUACAACCAACACCAUAGAAAUACAAAAGAUCAUUUAAGACUACUAUGACAACUUUAUGCACACAAACUAGAAAACGUAGAGGAAAUUGAUAAAUUCCUAGGGACAUACAACCCUCCUAGAUUAAAUCAGGAAGAAUUAGAAACCUUGAACAGACCAACAACAAGCAGUGAGAUUGAAUUAGUAAUUUUAAAAUUGCCAACAAAAGAAAGCCCAGGACCAGAUGGAAUCACAGCUGAAUUGUACUGGACUUUCAAAGAAGAAUUGGUACCAAUCCUACUGAAACUAUUCCAAAGGAUUGAGAGAGAGGAAAUCCUCCUUAAAUCAUUCAAUAAAGCUAGUAUCACCCUGAUACCAAAGUCAGGAAAGGACACAACAAAAAAGGAAAACUACAGACCAAUUUUCCUGAUGAACACAGAUGCAAAAAUCCUCAUCAAAAUACUAGCUAACUGAAUCCAACAGCACAUCAAAGAGAAUUCAUCAUGAUCGAGUUUCAUCACAGGGAUGCAAGGAUAGUUUAAUAUAUGCAAGUCAAUAAAUGUGAUCUAUCACAUAAACAGAAUUAAAAACAAAAAACCAUAUGAUCACCUCAAUAGAUGCAGAAAACGCAUUUGAAAAAAAAAAUCAGCAUCCCUUUAGAUAAAAACUCUCAACAAACUAAGCAUAGAAGGGGCCUACCUCAAAAUAGUAGAAGCCACAUAUGAUAAACCCACAGCCAACGUCAUACUGAAUGGGAAAAAGUCGAAAGUAUUCCCCCUGAGAACAGGAACAAGACAAGAAUACCCACUUUCACCCCUCCUAUUCAACAUAGUUCUGGAAGUCCUAGCCAGAGUAAUUAGGCAAGAGAAAGAAAUAAAGGGCAUCCAAAUUGGAAAAGAGGAAGUCAAACUACCACUGUUUGCAGAUGAUAUGAUUAUAUAACUAUAAAAUCCUAAAGACUCCUCAAAAAAGACUCUUAGAUUUGAUAAAUGAGUUUGAUAAAGUCUCAGGUUACAAAAUUGAUGUGUACAAAUCAGCAGCACUGCUAUUCACCAACGACCAAGCUGAGAAUCAAAAUAAAAACUAAAUCCCUUUUACAACAGCUGCAAUAAAAUAAAAUAAAAUACUUAGGAAUAUACUUAACCAAAGAGGUGAAAUAUCUCUACAGGGAGAAUUAUAAAACAUCACUGAAAGAAAUCAUAGAUGACACAAACAAAUGGAAACGCAUCCCAUGUUCAUGGAUUGAAAGAUUCAAUGUUGUGAAAAUGACCACACUACCCAAAGCAGUCUACAUAUUCAAUGAAAUUACCAUCAAAAUAUCAACAUUUUCAUGGAAUUAGAAAAAACAACCCUAAAAUUCAUAUGGAACCAAAAAAGAGCCCAUAUAGCCAAAGCAAUCCUAAGCAAAAAGAGCAAAUCUGGAGGCAUCAUGUUGCUGGACUUCAAAUUCUACUACAAGGCUGUAGUUACCGAAGUUAUACCAGCAUGGUACUGGUAUUAAAGUAGUCAUGUAGACCAAUGGAACAGAGUGGAGAACCCAGAAAUAAAACCAAAUAUGUACAGCCAACUGAUCUUCCACAAAGCAUACAAAAAUACACAUUAGGGAAUGGACACCCUGUUUAAUAAAUAGUGCUGGGAAAACUGGCAAGUCACAUAUAGAAGAAUGAAACUGAAUCCGUAUCUCUUGCCUUACACAAAAAUCAACUCAAGAUGGAUCAAAGACUGAAAUAAGAGCUGAAACUAUAAAAACCCUAGAAGACAACAUUGGAAAAAAUUUGUAGACAUUGGCCUAAGCAAAGAACUCAUGACUAAGACCCCAAAAACAAAUGCAACAAACACAAAAAUAAAUAAAUGGGACCUAAUUAAACUAAAAAACUUCUGCACAGCAAAAGAAAUAAUCACCAGAAUAAACAGACAACCCACAGAAUGGGAGAAAAUAUUUGCAAGCUAUGUGUCUGACUAAUAUCCAGAACCUACAAGAAACUCAAACAAAUCAGGAUGAAAAAAAAAUCUCAUUAAAAAGUGGACAAAGGACAUAGACAUUUCUCAAAAUAAGAUAUACAAAUGGCCAAAAAACAUGAAAAAAUGCUCCAUGUCACUAAGCAUCAGGGAAAUGCAAAUUAAAACCAUAAUGAGGUACCACCUUACUCCUGUAAGAAUGGCUAUUAUUAGGCCAGGUGUGGUGGCUCAUGCCUGUAAUCCCAGCACUUUGGGAGGCCGAGGUGGGUGGAUCACUGAAGGUCAGGAAUUCGAGACUAGCCUGGCCAACAUGGGGAAACCCUGUCUCUACUAAAAAUACAAAAGUUAGCCAGGCGUGGUGGCAGAUGCCUGAAAUCCCAGCUACUUGGAAGGCUGAGACAGGAGAAUCACUUGAACCUGGAAGCAGAGGUUGCAGUGAUCCAAGAUUCUGCCAUUGCGCUCCAGCCUGGGUGACAGAGUGAGACUCUGUCUCAAAAAAAAAAAACCAAAAAAAAACAAACAAAAAAACAAAAAAAGAAUUGACUAUUAUUAAAAAGUCAGAAAACAAUAGAUGUUGGUGUGGAUGUGGGGAAAGGGGAACACUUUACACUGCUAGUGGGAAUGUAAAUUAGUGCAACCUCUAUGGAAAACAGUAUGGAGAUUCCUUAAAGAGUGAAAAGUAGAUCUACCAUUCAAUCCAGGAUUCCCAUGGCUGGGUCUCUAUCAAAGGGAAAUAUGUCAUUAUAUGAGAAAGACACUUGCACACAUAUGUUUAUAGCAGCACAAUUCACAAUUGUAAAGAUGUGAAACCAACCUAAGUGCCCAUCAACAAAUGAGUGGAUUACGAAAAUGUGGUAUAUAUGCACCAUGGAAUACUACUCAGCCAUUAAAAGGAACAAAAUAAUGUAUUUUGCAGCAACUUGGAUGGAGCUGGAGGCCAUUAGUCUAAGUGAAGUAACACAGGAGUGGAAAAGCAAAAACCAUAUGCUCUCAAUUAUAAGUGAGAGCUAAGCUAUGAGCAUGCAAAUGCAUACAGAGUGAUAUAAUGGACUUUAAAGACUCAGAAGAGGGAGGGUGGGAUGGGAGAUAGGGAUACAAAAACUGCACAUUAGGUACAAUGUACACUAAUCGGGUGACAGGUGCACUAAAAUCUCAGAAUUCACCGCUAUAUAAUUCAUGUAACAAAAUCCACUUGUACCACAAAAGCUAUUGAAAUAAAAAGAAACACAGCUUGUUGAUUUCAGUGAUCCAUUGAGCCCCAGCUCAAUCCCCAUGGCAUCCACCAUGGCACAAGUCCAGGCAGUUCACCAUUGGAGAAGGGUCUCUUCAUGUCAUGACUGUUAUUAGCUGCAUAUCCCUAAAGGCAGAAUUCCCAAACUUGGAGCAUUUUAUUUCCUGGAGUUUCCUCUUUUUCCUCUUUGUCCAUAACAUGAAUCAAUAAUAAGCUUCUUAAGACUGCUCUUGUAUUAGAUAAUCAUUUUUAUUCUACAAAAUUGUUGGAACUUACAUCAUCCACAAAUUAAAAUUCUUUUUCUUUCCUCCCCUGUUUUUCAACCCUUUUUUCCUUUUAAAAUUCAUAACCUCUGGUCAUUACUUUGUGGUUUUUAUCUGACAUAAAACCACUUUAGCUGAUUAAGGUGGUUAUUUGUGAAAGUACCAUAAUUAUCUUUAUUACAUAUUCUUGAGUUAUAUGCUUCAUAUAAUUAGCACAAAUAUCUAUAAUAGAGUAGAAAAAACACAAUAGAGCUUCUUAGAUAACAUGGCAUGUUGAACCCAUUUGUCUAAUUUUGCUCCCUCCUGAAACCCUAGAAAAACUAUAGCAAAGAGAUUUAAAGUGAAAGGUAAACUCAUCAGGGCAGAGUGGACAAAACAAGAGAUAAGAACAACAUUUUGUAAAUUAGAAAGCAGACGGACAGGAGGCAAAUGCAAGAAACCAAAAUCUAAGCCUGUGGUGGAAAAAGCUGAGAACCAACCUGAUUUUGAAGCACAGUCCUCAAAAGCCUUGAGCAGUGGCAGCACCAUUUGGUUUGAGCACAAAGGCUUGGUUUGAGGAGGAGGAGGGCUGGACCAGAAGGAAGAAGUUGGGUGGUGAAGAGCAAAACACGGAGGCUCAAAUGACAGCUGUUGAGGGAGUGAGCAGGCCCUUCUGCUGGCUGCCCACUCCACCCUGGGAACUGGUCCUUCAGCCUAGGAGCUUUAUUUCCUGCAGAGGGUGAACUGAUUGUAUCUGGACUGGGAAAUGCCAGGCAGGGCUUUUGGGGGCUACCAUAUUAAAACAAGGAAGUUAGGCAAAUGUUUGUGCACUAGAUGCUGAAUCCUUUCUCUUUUUUCUCCCACUUGACUCUCAGAAUACAGAAAGUUAUUUUUUUCCUUCUAUGGAGGAAGAGAGAAAAGUAUCCUAGCUGGAAAUUGACCAACCCUAGAAAAAAGACCUAAAGAUACUGACUGAUGCCAAAAGUUGUCCCAAAAUAACCCAGCCAGAUAAUUCUUCAAUUAAGUUCGUCAUGGAUAAACUCAAAGCAAACGUCUCAAAACUUCCAAUCAGGUUUCCAGUUCCCCAUAUUAAACAUAAGUAGACAGCCAAAGAUUGCCAGGCGUGUAGGGGUGUCACUAACCCAGAAGAUAGAGGUGAAAAGGAACCUACAGAAAGAAAAGCAAUUUGGAGAAAUCAGAAGCAACGCAGAAAGAAGAAAACUAAAUGAAACAAAACCCCAAAAAGGUCAUUAAUAUGUACAGAAUGUUAAGAGAAGAUACUACUUUUAGGUAACAAGUGUUUUUAACCAAAAAACAAAACAAAAACCUAACUUUCAAAGAACAAAAAUUAAUUUUUAGAAAUUGAAAGUAUAAUAGCAAAAAUGUUGUGGCUGGAAUGUAAAAUAACUGAAAAAGUUGAAUAAAUCUUUCAGAAAAUAGAGAAAAA